rnacentral:rRNA from 1 species
UACGAAGGGGGCUAGCGUUGUUCGGAAUUACUGGGCGUAAAGCGCACGUAGGCGGAUGUUUAAGUUAGGGGUGAAAUCCCAGGGCUCAACCCUGGAACUGCCUCUAAUACUGGGCAUCUAGAGUCCGAGAGAGGUGAGUGGAAUUCCGAGUGUAGAGGUGAAAUUCGUAGAUAUUCGGAAGAACACCAGUGGCGAAGGCGACUCACUGGACACAUAUUGACGCUGAGGUGCGAAAGCGUGGGGAGCAAACAGG